rnacentral:rRNA from 1 species
AGAGCGAACGCUGGCGGCAGGCCUAACACAUGCAAGUCGAGCGCCCGUAGCAAUACGGGAGCGGCAGACGGGAUAGUAACACGUGGGAACGCGCCCUUCGGUUCGGAAUAACUCAGGGAAACUUGAGCUAAUACCGGAUACGCCCUUACGGGGAAAGAUUUAUUGCCGAAGGAACGGCCCGCGUCCGAUUAGCUAGUUGGUGAGGUAAUGGCUCACCAAGGCGACGAUCGGUAGCUGGUCUGAGAGGAUGACCAGCAUCACUGGGACUGAGACACGGCCCAGACUCCUACGGGAGGCAGCAGUGGGGAAUAUGGACAAUGGGCGCAAGCCUGAUCCAGCCAUGCCGCGUGAGUGAUGAAGGCCUUAGGGUUGUAAAGCUCUUUCGCCAGGGACGAUAAUGACGGUACCUGGAGAAGAAGCCCCGGCCAACUUCGUGCCAGCAGCCGC